rnacentral:lncRNA from 1 species
UGGAUGAUUCCUUCUAAUAACUACAACAUAUGGCAAUAGACAAAUGACGUAGACUAUGUGUUCUUUGAUCUUGUGAGUUAAAGAGUAAUAUUAUGUGAUGGAACCAAACAAGAGAGACAAAAUCAGCUUUUUGUAUAUUCCUAAUAGUCAACUCUUUACAAGAUGUUCUUCCACAAAAGUUCUUAUUCCCUUUUUGUUUCUCCUCCCUUCCUAUUUAUAAGGAAUAUCUCUAGAAAACCCUAUAAAAGUACAAUAUGGGGGUAUAUUCAGUAGAAUAUUCGUAUUCACAAUUCAAGAAAAGUCGUUUAACCCUCUACUUGACCUCGACACUGGUUUUUCCCUUUGAGCGACUUCUCGCCAUUGGACCGCACUUGAUUUCGACUUUGGCCUCACCUUGUUCAUCCAAAUCUGCUAAAGUAGACCUAAUUUUGAUCCCUACAAGUAUCAUAGCAUAAUCUUGGUUAUUCCUGCUGAUCAUUCUCUUCCCUCUCUUAGAGAAAUUAAUGCAACAUCUUUGUUACAGUACUUUGUGUAUUUGUGUUAGGUAGGUUUGCUAUAAACGUAUAAUGCAUUUAGUGGGGUCUCUAUCGACCAUUAACUUUGGGUUCAAGCGCUGGUAUGUAAGAUAGAAAUCCGUAGGGUAUACGAAAAGGAAUUUCCAUAUCAAUUAUUAAGACCUUUAUGCUUGAAGCUGAAUUAUCACAAUAUUUGGGAUUUCCUCUGCUCCAAAAUAUAAGUCGUUUGAUUUGGUUUAAGAUAGUUGGCAUUCUAAACAAUAAGAAGUCAUUUGUUAUUGUUCCAAUUAGUGGGGUGUUCAUUAUAUAUGAGACAUUUAAGAAGGAAUAUGAAGAUAUAUAGUUUACACAAAUUCUCUUAUAAUUUGAGACUAUAGUGUGCAGCAUCCAGUUUGGACCUGAAGUACUAUCAUGUACUCGUAAUCAGGAAGACCUGCAUCAGAGUCUUGAAUUGAUAGUUAUGAUAUAUAUUUUUAUAAUAAUAUCCCUAUAUAAUAGUUAUUCAUCAUAAAAAUUAAAUUUUUCUUAGAAUCGUUUUUUAAAGUUAUAUUUUACCUCUUAUAACAAUUUUUACCUAUAAUAUCAGCAAUCAUAUUUACAAUAGAAAACUAACAGUCAUAUAGAAUCUUUAAAAGUGCUAAUAAUAAUUCUAAAAUAUGUGCACAAUCUUUUCCAUUUAACAAAGUUUUCAUUUUGCAUAACACAAAAGAUUUUAAGAUUUGCACAUGAUAUAUUUUCCAUUGGAAAAAUACCAAAAAAUAUUUAUAUAGAACAUUUAAUUUGUAAGCUCUUAGAUUUUCUUCCAGCGAAAGCUAUUGAAUAUAUUUUUGGUGAAAAUUAAGGCACAAAUUUUUGCCAAUUCAAGUGUUAUAUCAGCUAUGAUUACAAAGUUCUUCCAUUAAUCUUGAAAGAAUAUACCCUCUAGCUUUAAAAUGUGUGCUUUAGAGUUUAAAUCUUUAUACAUUUGGUUAUGAAUUUAUUCAUAAUGUAUUACUCGCUUCGUUCCAGUUUAUGUGAACCUAUUUUCUUUUUGGUCCGUUCCAAAAAGAAUGUCCCCUUUCUAAAUUUAGAAAUAAUUUAGCGUAAACUUACAAUUCUACCCUUAAUGAAAAGCUUUUAUAACCACCUAAAUAAUCUGAGACCCUUUUAAACAUGUUUAGGACAACAAAUUCCAAAAGUCUUUAUUUUUUCUUAAAUUCUGUGCCUAGUCAAAUAGAUUCACAUAAAUUGGAACAGCGGGAGUAACUUUUUUCAAUAUUUAACAAGUGAAACAUGCAUAUAUUUUAAGAUUAUAAAUUUGAAUAAUUUUUUUUUAUCUUUUAUACUCCCUCCGUUUCAUAUUGUUUGAGGUAGUUUGACUCGACAUGGAGUUUAGGAAAAACGAAAUUUAGGAAAAAAGAAGAAAACUUUUGAAACUUGUGGUCUUAAAAGAAUAAGGGUUAAAAGGUUUGCGGGGCCAUGCCAUUUGUGUGGCUAUAAAAGCUUCUCAUUAAGGGGAAAAAUGGUAAAAUAAAGAGUUUAAAGUUGAAUUAUUUCCAAAUUUAGAAAUGUGUCGCUUAUUUUAGAACAGACUAAAAAAGAAAGUACCUCAUUUAAUAUGAACAGAGAGAGUACGUAACAAUGGAAAAGGAAAAUAGUUGAUUUUUGGAUAGUAUUUAUUUAUAACGGACAAAAAUAUUUAAAUCUCAAAUGUUGCUAUAGGUGUAUAAUAUCCAUCCACUAUAAAAACAAAAAAUAAUCAAAAAUAAAAAAUACUGUUAUAGAAAGGUUUGACUGCAUAGAGUUUCCUUGAAGAUUUGCAGUCAAUUAAUAGCCUAUUAAUGUGAAAAUAGAGAAGGUAUAGAAAGAUGAUCUAGCAUUUUACGAAAACCUUGCCGAACGUAUAUAUUUUUGCCCGAUCUUGGUUGAACAAAUAGAUCAGAUGAUUACUACUAGUCCCCAAGGUGAAGAAAAGCUUCAAUCUUGAUGGUUUUUACGUCUUGAAUCUUGAUGCAGGCCCAGCAUAUUUAUAUGAAAUAUAUAGCCUUAUUUUCUUCCACAACUAAGAACAGUUACAACUAACGGAAUUUACUGAGCACCAACGUCAUGAACCAUUAUAGGCUAGGGUAAUCUUGAAUUGCAUUUUGCCAGCUUGUACUGAUAUCUCUAUUUACCUAAUGCAAUAGCCCACAUGGGCCUAUUAUAGGCUUCUCCAAGAUUUUCUUGAUAUUGUUACACAAAAUGGCAAACAAAAUAAAAAUACUCGCAUUUUCCAUCUAUAAAUUCUCACUCAGUCGUUCAUUUCCAUCACCAAGUAAUCUCUUAGCUCUAGUAAUACACACAUUAGCCGCACUUCCCACAUUUUUAGUCUGAAUAAAAUGGCCAAGGCUACUGUAUCAUCCAUUGUCCUCCUCCUCACUUUGAACAUUCUCUUCUUCGCAAUGGUUAGUUCAACUUACAUCCCAUGCCCACCAAAAACAAAGAAUCAACCCCAUCCCACUACCCCAUCAUCCAAGGGUUAUAAGAAGUGCCAAAAGGACACACUAAAAUUGAAGGUGUGUGCCAAUUUAUUGAAUGACUUGGUGCAUGUUGUUAUUGGAAGCUCAUCAAAGAGUUCAUGCUGCUCUCUCAUUGAGAAUCUUGCUGAUGUUGAUGCUGCAGUUUGCCUUUGCACUGCCAUUAAAGCUAAGCUCUUGGGAACUAACCUUGAUACCGCUCUUUCCCUCAGCUUAUUGCUCAACAAUUGUGGAAAGACCGUCCCUAAAGACUUCCAAUGUGCAUAAAUGGCCAUCUUCCCACCCCAACUUGUUUGGUAAUGAGGCGUAGUUGUCUGUUUGUGGUGUUUGUUUUCUCCAUAAGAUUUUCGUCGGAGAUUUCAACUAAAAAAUAAUCAGUACUGAGUGUGUUUGUGCACGGUUGCUUAUUUUCUCAGGAAAUAUGUGGAAUUAUUCUAGUGCUUAGAAGUACUGAGUGUGUUUAUUCAUGGUUGCUUAUUUUCAAUGUGUUGUAUCCCAUAUUUAUUUGUAAUAAGAUGGUUAUGUUCUCACUAAGGAAAUAUAUUAUGAUUGAUCUCGGGAAAUCAAUUAUUGACAAGGUAUUGAUAUUAAGUUGCUUCUGUUUUUUUUUUCAGCGACGUGACAUUUUCAUCUGCCAAUUUGUUCUUUCCUUUUUCUUUUCGUCGAUUUUAAAUUUUGUAACUAGAAAGAAUACUAAAGUUUUAAAAACUGUUCUAAAUAAUUACCCGUACUUCUCUUGACUUCGUCCUAUAUUUAACCCUCGUAAGAAUACGAUCAAUGUGCGGUGGGACAGUUGAGAUACCUCUGCCCGCAGUUAGAAGUUUCGGAUUUGAACCAUAGAAACAGAAAACUUUCUUGUAGGGAGUGUAAGGUGUUAUCGUUUGUCCGUGUUCAAAGCAACGAGAAACUGGAAACCAGUAAGAAGAAGAGACAC